AUUGAACGCUGGCGGCAGGCCUAACACAUGCAAGUCGAGCGAGUGGCGGACGGGUGAGUAAUGUCUGGGAAACUGCCUGAUGGAGGGGGAUAACUACUGGAAACGGUAGCUAAUACCGCAUACCAUCGGAUGUGCCCCGGUGGGAUUAGCUAGUAGGUGGGGUAAAGGCUCACCUAGGCGACGAUCCCUAGCUGGUCUGAGAGGAUGACCAGCCACACUGGAACUGAGACACGGUCCAGACUCCUACGGGAGGCAGCAGUGGGGAAUAUUGCACAAUGGGCGCAAGCCUGAUGCAGCCACGCCGCGUGUAUGAAGAAGGUCUUCGGGUUGUAAAGUACUUUUAGCGGGGAGGCGUUACCCGAAGAAGAAGCACCGGCUAACUCCGUGCCAGCAGCCGCGGUAAUUC
rnacentral:rRNA from 1 species